AUGUAUGUGCUGUGCACACUGGUGUUGCUGUCUCUCCACAACCUGUUUAGGAGACCCAGGGUCUUGGAACCCUCUGUACCCAAGGCUAUCGAGGGUCCUCCUGAGCAGCACAGACCAGAGGAAGCCAAACUGGGACGCAAGAAGAGGAACAAGCACACCUUGCAUGAAGGUUCUGGACCUCUAGAGUCAUCAGGAGCCCAUGACUUUGAAAGAUGCCUAGAUGGACCCAGUAGAGCAAGUAAAAGAAGAUCCGUUCACUUGGAUAAUGUGCACAAGAGGAAGAAGAGAGCACAGCCGGUCCAGCGGUGUGGUCUGCUCGGCCCUGUGGUCAUGUACAGCACACAAAAGACCUGGGACGUCGGCCACACCCCCUGCCUGCAGGAGCUCUGGAACGAAGACCUCUCAUUGGAUGUUUCAGCAAGUUCCGUGGAUAUCCUGAUGAGUGAUGGUGAGGAGGAGAGCUCCUUCCUCUCGUUGCCUAACUCUGUCCUUCAGCGCCACUGUUUGACCUCUGACCUCUCUGAAGCGGCCACCUCAGAACAGCAGCAGCUGCUCAUACAGACACUGCAAGAGAGAGUCUGUGAGUUCCAGGCACGUUUGCGCAGUGAAGACUCUGCCAAAAGACUCCUGCUACAGCGACUGCAGACACACGACCACCAGCUCAACCAAGACAACCACCUGAACGAGGAACAUUCAUCCAUUAACCAAGAACCUCAAGAGCAGCUCAGACUGCAGGACAGCCAGCUCAACCAAGCUGUGUCACCUACAGGUGAGAGAGAGGAAAUGGUUCAGAUUGUAGAGACUAUAAUUGUAAAUUAAAUUAGUCAUUUUUCAUAUUAUUAUUAUUAUUAUAAAUUAUAUAAAUGUUAUAUUUAUAACAUUUGAAUCUUAUUUUUAUACAUUUAUUAGAAAUAUUAUGGAAUGUGUGUGUAUAUAUAUAUAUAUAUAUAUAUAUAUAUAUAUAUAUAUAUAUAUAUAUA
ensembl:lncRNA